ensembl:miRNA
AACUGACUAUGCCUCCUCGCAUCCCCUAGGGCAUUGGUGUAUAGGUGGAGACCCACUGCCCCAGGUGCUGC